rnacentral:tRNA from 1 species
CGCGGAAUAGAGCAGUUUGGUAGCUCGUCGGGCUCAUAACCCGGAGGUCGCAGGUUCAAAUCCUGCUUCCGCAACCA